GCCUGUAUAAUGUCUUUUUAAUUAGCCUAUUAUUAUCGAUUAACUGACUGUGGUUUCAGUUUGAUACGCGCUCCGACCCACUCUUUAAAAAAAUGAUUGGCAAAGGUUUCAAAGCUGGCCAACAAUACCACGCAACGCCAUGUAGACGCGCAACACAUUUUUCAGUAGAUGGCGUGGACGCGCUACCAAUUUCUGACUGAGGUUUGCUAGACCAACUCUGACUGACUGACUGACUAUGACUUUGGGACAUUUUCUGCUGCCUUUUAUGAAGAAUACCUGAACAAGUUGAUCGCAACAUCAAAGACUAAUAAUAUGGAAACCAACACCAGAGGUGAGAUAUUGUUUAAACUUAAGCUGCGUUCGUAAACCCGUCAUCAUGGUUAUAAACACCGGCGCGUGUGCCACUCACCAGUCUCGCAUCACUGUUUAACCUGUCCUGUUUCGUGCUUAAAGAAUCAAUUCACACUGCUCCGACAGACGCAGACACAUUCUGUCCAGAUUUGAGUGGGAUAUUUGAGUGUCUGUGGAGGCCUCUGAGAAGAGUCUGGAGACUCCUGCGCUGCCGUGGACCUGAAAUAAAACUUUCAGUGGAAGAAACCUCACCACAUUUUAGUGGCCAUAGCUCUGUCCGUCCGUGGUGAAGAGCCUCAAGUUGUUUCUCUUCACUGAGGUGAGAUGAUCAUUUUGAAUGAAUUGAUGUCCAGCCAUACAACAGAGUUCUUGGACCUACGUUUUAAACCCAAGUUUAAAGACUGAGAAGAUGGAUAUUCUUCCUCUCAAAUCAUCUGCCCUGCUGUUCAACAUAUCCGCCUGACCGCCAUACCAACAUGGAAUGGAUUUCUACUUCCAGAAUGUAAUGUGUAACAACCAAGUUACUUUGUCAUUUCUGCCUACUCAGGGGACCACAAUUUGCACAAGCUUCUCCGUGGUUGUCUCCUCAAACCUCUGGACACCAUGAUCUUCUUUUUUGCCAAACUGACAAAGACAGUAGUGCACAAACAGACCUAAGUUGGUUGGUUUAGGUCCAUGCAUGGAGGCAUUAGCUGGCCAACUUGAACAUAAUGAAGCGCUGUACAAAUGAAGUGCUAUACCAAUGAAGUGUCCUUAGAUUUUAGAUUUUUGUUGUUUUAAAUAUUGUCUAAAAGCUGUGCAUGAAUAUUUUCAUACAUAAAUCAUGAUUCAUCCAUAGCUUCAUAAUUUUUUAGUAAAUUUGCCAAGUUUUUACACCAACUUUGUUUGCUCUCAGAUGAGAAUGCACCUCUACAGAGCAAGGUCAGGUUGACAUUCGUUGUGAAUCUGAACUUUAUGCACUUAAAUAUGCAGCAACUUAUAAGUGACUGUGGCCUGAUAUCUUUUGAUAUGUUUCCAUUAGGUUUCGUGCUGGUCAGUUCUCCACAGGGUAGUUAAUGAUUGUGUCUAGUACUUACAAUGGUUUCUUACAAUGGAUUGUACCACUGCUGAUGGAUUUUUCAUGCUGUUCUACUUGAACCUCUUAAGCCCAAGACACACUGCACGAUUUGAGCAAUUCUAUAAGAUCAUUGCAUGUCACACUGUGUGACAUGGAUCUAAUAAACUUGGCUAUGACGUAGACUGUACGUUGAUGACACCUAUUGACUCGUACGCUACGACACACGUUACUGUAGAAGAAUAUAACGUCAUCAGCAAUGCACUAGUGGAAAACUAAAAGAGCAUGAUAAAUCACACUUUAGCAGUUGUAGUUUUUAUGUGUGCUAACAAAAAACUGUAAUCAGCAAAAGAGGAUGGCAUAAGAGCUUGAGCAGUUUUAUGUUUUAGAGCCAUGUCGCAUUGAUUUCAUGUCACAUUUUUAUUGGUUGGUCAGUGAAUGUGGAUCGUAGCAGCAAACACACUGCGAUGAUCAUGCUGAAUUUCUGACACUGUCAGAAAACUAUCUUAGGGUAUCUUUGGUCGCAAGACCGUAACAACGGCUGACCUCUCACUGUAUGACACAGGACCACCGAUUAGGAGUCAUGAUCACUGAAAUCGCCACUAUUGUUUCACGAUGCCAAUCUUUUGUCUGGGACAGCCGAAAAUCAUGCAGUGUUUCAGACUUGAACGGGAUAGUUCACCAAAAAAUUUAAAGUCUGUCAGUACUUUGUGGAAGUCACACACACACACAAAAAUAUAUUUUGAAGAAUGUUGGUAAGCAAACUGUUUUGGUUACCAUUGACUUCCACUGUAUGGCCAAAAACCCCACUUAAAAACAUUACGGGGAGUGAAGUGAGAACUUAAGCUGAUUUGUUCCUUCAGGCAGAGGCUUGUCACUCAGAGCAUGACGGUUUGCAGUCAUGAUUAGGAAUGUAAUUUAUAAUAGGCCUAUGUGGAGAUACAGUUAGGUGCAUGACAUUAUCAUUAUGCUGAUACACUCUCUACCUUACUUUGUGCUAAAUUCCAACCAAGUUAGGAACAGAAGAAAGAUUUCUAUAUUUGGCUCUCAAGGAUAAAACCAACAGUUUAGUGUCCCUUUCUAUUUAUAUGCAUGCACCAAAACCUGUCCGGUUGGAUUUUGGGCAUUUAGGGAUUCCCCUAAAAUCCAAGAAACAUGGGAUUUCUUCAGGAGUGUUGCAACAAACAUUUUGUCACCAUUACUUGAGUAUUAGGCAUUUAGGAUGUUAGGAUGUUCUCACAACAUGCCUACACUGGAAGGAAGUGACAAAAUAAAUCACUUCCAUUUGCUACCAGCAAAGCUUUCUACAGUGCAAAUUAGCAAUAUUGUGUGUUUUGCAUGCGUCUUAAUGGCAGUCACGACAUGUGUCAGUUACAUUUGAGUAGAUUUUUUUAAUUACAGCUUGAGGGUUUGGAGGGGGUUUGUUUUAACAACACUGGUUGUUUUGUUUGAUUUAGCCCCCAAAUGUGACAGACACAAUGAUGCUGUUGUGACGCUUACCUUCAUAAUAGGAAGGAAACUCGCCUGCUUGUAAUUUUUUUGUGAAACCAAAGGUCUUAAGUAGUUUAGGUGGAUUUGAUCAGAUGACAAACCCUGUCCUAAAGGUUUUUGCUAAAUUGUGCCUUCUUUUGCUCAUUUAUUUAGAUUUUUGUAAAGAAAAGUUGACAAACACUGUUUGUAUAAAGUUGUUAAAUAUUUAAGGUAAUAUUAGUGUAUUUACUGUUCAAAAAGAGAUAUAUGAAUGCAAUUCUGUGAUAUGUGGUAUAUAUUAUUUGUUUGUUUCAUAAUGCAACAUCUGUUAUCACACAGCCUGAAUGUGUAAUGUUGUGAACUAAUAAACUUAAAUGAUCUAAAUC
ensembl:lncRNA